GGAGAGGUGGCUGAGCGGUCGAAAGCGGCGGUCUUGAAAACCGUUGUGGGGCAACCCACCGGGGGUUCGAAUCCCUCCCUCUCCGCCA
rnacentral:tRNA from 1 species